UACGAAGGGGGCUAGCGUUGUUCGGAUUUACUGGGCGUAAAGCGCACGUAGGCGGCCAGGUAGGUCCGUUGUGAAAACUCGAGGCUCAACCUCGAGACGUCGGCGGAAACCCUCUGGCUAGAGUCCGGAAGAGGAGAGUGGAAUUCCGUGGUGUAGCGGUGAAAUGCGCAGAUAUCAGGAAGAACACCCGUGGCUAAGGCGGCUCUCUAGUACGGUACUGACGCUGAGACGCGAAAGCGUGGGGAGCGAACAGG
rnacentral:rRNA from 1 species